rnacentral:rRNA from 1 species
GUGGAUUAGAUACCCUGGUAGUCCACGCCGUAAACGAUGGAUACUAGCUGUUGGAAGCAAUUUCAGUGGCUAAGCGAAAGUGAUAAGUAUCCCACCUGGGGAGUACGUUCGCAAGAAUGAAACUCAAAGGAAUUGACGGGGGCCCGCACAAGCGGUGGAGCAUGUGGUUUAAUUCGAUGAUACGCGAGGAACCUUACCAAGGCUUAAAUGUAGAUUGACCGGUUUGGAAACAGAUCUUUCGCAAGACAAUUUACAAGGUGCUGCACGGCCGUCGCCAACU